rnacentral:rRNA from 1 species
GAUGAACGCUGGCGGCGUGCCUAAUACAUGCAAGUCGAGCGAACGGACGAGAAGCUUGCUUCUCUGAUGUUAGCGGCGGACGGGUGAGUAACACGUGGAUAACCUACCUAUAAGACUGGGAUAACUUCGGGAAACCGGAGCUAAUACCGGAUAAUAUUUUGAACCGCAUGGUUCAAAAGUGAAAGACGGUCUUGCUGUCACUUAUAGAUGGAUCCGCGCUGCAUUAGCUAGUUGGUAAGGUAACGGCUUACCAAGGCAACGAUGCAUAGCCGACCUGAGAGGUGGAGGGGCAACAGGGGAGGUGGACACGGGUCAAGCCCCCGCGGGGAGGCGGAAGGGGGGAUUCUUCCGAAAGGGGGGAAGGCCGGACGGAGAAACGCGGGGGGAGUGAGGAAGGUCUUCGUAUCUAAAAAUUUUUUUAUUGGGAAAGAAAAUAUGGUAAAGAAAUUGUGAACUUCUGGAGGGAACCUAAUAAGAAAGCCACGGCUAACUAGGGG